rnacentral:tRNA from 1 species
GCGAAAGUAGCUCAGUUGGUAGAGCAUCACCUUGCCAAGGUGGAGGUCGCGGGUUCAAAUCCCGUCUUUCGCUC